rnacentral:lncRNA from 1 species
AUGCCGAGGGAAAAGAGGAUUUUUUGGAGUUUUUUGGUGUUUUUUUUUUUUUUUUUUGGGGGGGGGGUUAUUCUUGCUUGGGAGAAAAGAAAAAAAAAAAGGAGGAGAAAAGAGAAUAAAAGGAAGGAAAAGGGGGAAAAAAGGAAUGUAAAGGGAAAAAGGGAAGGAAAAGAGAGAAAGGAGAAGAAAGGAGAAAAGGGAAAAAAAGGAAAGGGAAUAAAGGGAAUGCAGAAAAAAAGAGAGAAAAGGAAAGAAAAAGGAAAAGAGAAAAGGAAAGAAAAAGGAAAAAAGAAAAGGAAAAGGAAAAAAGAAAGAAAAAGGAAAAAAGGAAAGAAAAAGGAAAAAGGGAAAGAAAAAGGAAAAAAGGAAAGAAAAUGGGGGAAAAAAGGAAAAGAAAAGGGGGAAAAAAGAAAAGAAAAUGAGGAAAAAAAGGAAAGAAAAGGGGGAAAAAAGAAAAGAAAAUGGCGGGAAAAAAGGAAAGAAAAUGGGGAAAAAAAGAAAGAAAAUGGGGGGAAAAAGGAAAAGAAAAUGGGGAAAAAAGGAAAAGAAAAGCGCCAACCCCCCCGAUUUUUUAUUUCGGGGGCCGCCCUUGCGCUGUUUCAAUCGCGCCCCGCGCAGAGGCGCGCAAGGAACUCCCCUGGAAUUCCCGGCGAUGCUCCCGAUCCUCCCCCGCGCCGGGAGCCGGCUCCUUGUCCCGCAGGGGGGGCGCGGAGCGGGCGCUGCGCGGGGGGGCGCGGAGCGGGCGCUGCGGUGCCGCGGAGCAGCGCUAGGUGCCGCUGCCGCCCCGCCCUGCGCCGCGCUGCCCCCCGCGCCCCCCCGCGCACCCUCCGCGGGGCCGGCGAAAAAAAAAAAACCCAAAAAAAAAAAAAAAAACAAAACCAAAACCAAAAAAAAAAAAAAAAGGAGGAAAAAAAAAAAAACCAGGAAAAAAAAAUCCAAGCGAGGCCGGGGGUCCGGGAUUUGAGGAGCGGCCGCCGCCUCCUCCACGUGACGGCCCCAUAA